GCGCGGACUGUAUCCCGGCCGCCGCCCGCCGCGUUUCCCCGGGCCGCGCUCCUUGCGGCGCCCCGGCUCCCGCGUAGCCCGUCGGGCCGCCCCGGCCUCGCCCCUGCCCGCCUUCCCUCCUUCCUGCAGCGGCGAAGCGCGCAGAUGCCUGGUAGACACCUUAGGACUUUGAAAACGGAAAAGACCUGCUUUUAGGGGAUAAUGCUGAGGGACACUAUGAAAUCUUGGAAUGAUAGCCAGUCAGAUCUCUGUAGCAGUGACCAAGAAGAGGAAGAAGAGAUGGUUUUUGGUGAAAAUGAAGAUGAUUUGGAAGAGAUGAUGGAUUUCAGUGAUCUGCCUACCUCACUUUUUGCUUGCAGUGUCCAUGAAGCUGUGUUUGAGGUGCAAGAGCAGAAGGAGAGAUUUGAAGCACUUUUCACUGUCUAUGACGACCAAGUGACAUUUCAGUUGUUUAAAAGCUUUAGAAGAGUCAGAAUAAAUUUCAGCAAACCCGAAGCAGCAGCAAGAGCACGAAUAGAACUCAACGAAACGGACUUCCACGGGAAGAAGCUGAAGCUGUAUUUUGCACAGGUACAGAUGUCCAGUGAAACCCAGGACAAGUCGUAUUUACUGCCCCCGCAGCCGGUCAAACAGUUCCUCAUCUCCCCUCCUGCCUCGCCGCCUGUGGGGUGGAAGCAGGGGGAAGACGGAAUGCCUGUUAUAAACUAUGACUUACUCUGUGCGGUUUCCAAACUGGGACCAGGAGAGAAAUACGAGCUCCAUGCUGGAACGGAGUCAACGCCGAGUGUGGUGGUUCAUGUCUGCGAAAGUGAAACUGAAGAGGAAGAAGAAACAAAAAACCCCAAACAGAAAAUUACCCAGACGAGGCGCCCCGAGCCUCCAGCCACAGCACUGAGUGAGCCCCAGACCUUCGAUGGGGCACUGUGAGGCCUCUGGCUGGUGCCAGGCAGCCGCCCCCGGGGGCUCCGCGCUGGAGGUCCCUGCCCCUUCUGGCGCACCGUGGCUCGGCGUGUGUGGAUUCUGACUGUAUGCCAUGUGUCUCUGAGUGCGACAAAGAAGACUCUCAUGCUGAUGUUAUCUGUCACUCAGCAUCAAGAUCAUAAAGUUCUGUGAUAAAUGUGGAAGAUCUGUGUCAGAAACGUCUAUUACCACCAGCGAUUUGGGUAUAUUUGUAAGACACACUUAAAAUUUACUCCUCAUAUCUCACCUUAAAGUUGGAUGGUGAAAAAUGAAGACCAAAUUUUUUAAAAAAGGCUUAUUUACUAGUUUGCUAAAAUCUGACCAAUUCACCA